AGUAACACAAGUACAGGGUGAUGAAAAUCAAGAGUGUCUGAAGUUUUGUCACACCCUUUAUUUUUAAAAGUGUUGGAUGACUUAAUGAACUAAAUAUAGUGUACUAACCUAAAUUCAUCAAUGGUCCAUUGUUCCCACCAUGACAUAAGAUUUGAUUUAUUAUAUAUACACAUGGUCAAUCAUAUAUCAGGAUAAUAUGGUUCAAAGUUAAAAGGAGCUCAAGUAAAAUAUGGAGCAUCAGUGAAGUCACUAGAGAACUGUUUACAUGGAUCAUUCAGGGAACAGGAAGUUAUAAAGGAAACAGGAAGUUCAGGGUUCUUUCUCUAAUCUGCACACAGCAAGCAGCAACAGAAAUGUAAGUUCCUGUACUGAAGUUAAGGUUUAGCAUUAGCAUGUAGCUUAGCAUUAGCAACAACUUGUAUUAGUUUAUUGUUUGAAUUUAUACAGAACUUUGGUAAUGACUAAACUUCUUGUGUCUUGUAGUUUUCACUCCUUCAAUCUGGUGAAGAAAUGAAAAGAGGAGAUCAUCUCUUUGCUCCCUUCAGAGCACUUCCUGUUGAUAAAUCCAGAGCUACAGAUUCACAGAUAUAAGAAGACCGAGGAGUUCAGAUGAAAAGAAACAAAGCUACAUGGACAGACAGCAUCGUUAACAAAAACAGGCCAAUCAGAGUCCACAUUUUGAAGGUCUCGGUCUGGGACUAGAAGGAAAAAACAUCAAAUAACUUCAGUCCCCGGUUACGACCACAACCUUCCUGGUGUUACGCUCCAACUGUUUGCUGCGGUUCACCAGAGACUUGACCUCAGACUUCAUCUUGCUGAUGUAGAGCCGAGCUACGGUGAACUCCUCCUCCACCGCUGAGCCGCUCCCCCUGUAUGUUUCUGCAGAACGUGGGGUCAGAGCUGAGAGACAAACCUCUUCUUGGUCCAUCUUCUGCUCCUUGAGUUUGUCAGCCAGCAGACUCUGUUGGUUGAUCUCAUCAUCCUGUGAAUUAUUACAAGAAAAGGACAUCAACUGUUUGUACAGGUUGCUCCUCCUCGUAUUUGCUCCGCUCGUGGCAACAAUAUUAUUUGACUUUUCUUUCACAAAGCUGAACUGUACCUGUAGGUCUGUCUUGAUGAGCGAGGCUCCUGCUUGGACCAGAUAAUGACAGAUAGUUCUUUGAGACAGGGACGCAGCUCGGUGAAGGACCGUCUCCCCCCUGGUCAACAGAGAGAACAGACAUCAACAGUGGCCCCCCUGCUGCUUCUUUUGGUGUCUUGUGUUUAUGAUGGCACAUAUAUCAUCACAUAAAGACUGAACAGAGAUCAGAGCACAGAUACAGACACAGGCAGUUUGAAAGCAUCAUCAUCUACACUCUGUUAACAUUUAAAUAAAGUGUUUAGCAUUUUAAAAACCUCAUGGUUUCAGUUCAAUGUUAGAUGUUUUCAAGCACAAAUAUAAUCUGUACUUACUGCAGUUUUUCUGGAACGACUAAAAACUACUUAAAAGGCCGGGUUGGUAAUUUUCUCCAGAUCCACUUUUUAAGAUUGUGGUUGAAAUUGUCUUUUGAUCCUGACAAUGCCAGCAAUGAGCUGAAGUCUGCUUCUGGGGUGGGUGCAGACGGAGCACUGAGGGAAUGCUAUUUUUAGAAAAUGACCAACCCUGCCUUUAACCCA